CCCCAGCUGGCUCAGUUGGUAGAGCAUGGGACUCUUGAUCUCGGGGUUGGGAGUUCAAGUCCCACUUUGGGUG
rnacentral:tRNA from 1 species